GUGGGGAAUAUUGGGCAAUGGGCGAAAGCCUGACCCAGCAACGCCGCGUGAGGGAAGAAGGCCUUCGGGUUGUAAACCUCUGUCCUUGGUGACGAAAAAAAUGACGGUAGCCAAGGAGGAAGCCCCGGCUAACUACGUGCCAGCAGCCGCGGUAAUACGUAGGGGGCGAGCGUUGUCCGGAAUUACUGGGCGUAAAGGGUGCGUAGGUGGCCUUUUAAGUUGGAUGUGAAAUACCCGGGCUUAACUUGGGGGGUGCAUCUAAUACUGGAGGGCUAGAGUGCAGGAGAGGGAAGCGGAAUUCCUAGUGUAGCGGUGAAAUGCGUAGAUAUUAGGAGGAACACCAGUGGCGAAGGCGGCUUUCUGGACUGUAACUGACACUGAGGCACGAAAGCGUGGGGAGCAAACAGGAUUAGAAACCCGUGUAGUCC
rnacentral:rRNA from 1 species